rnacentral:lncRNA from 1 species
GCGGCGAGGAGGAGCCGGAGCGGGAGUGACACCGGCGAGACCCAGCGCGACCUGAGGCGGCUCUAGGUGACUCGGGCCAGUGUAGAGGGCCCCAGGCCGCAGGCAGGAGCAGCUGGGCCAAUUCCCUGGCCGGGGAACGGAAGGGGAUGGCGUCGGGCCUGGGCUCCCCGUCCCCCUGCUCAGCGGGCAGUGAGGAGGAGGAUAUGGAUGCACUUCUGAACAACAGCCUGCCCCCACCCCAUCCAGAAAAUGAGGAUGACCCGGAAGAGGAUUUAUCAGAAGCAGAGACUCCAAAGCUCAAGAAGAAGAAAAAACCUAAGAAACCCCGGGACCCUAAAAUCCCUAAGAGCAAGCGCCAGAAAAAGGAGCGUUUACUCUUAUGCCGGCAGCUGGGGGACAGCUCUGGGGAGGGGCCGGAGUUUGUGGAGGAGGACGAAGAGGCGGCUCUGCGCUCAGACAGCGAGGGCAGCGACUAUACUCCUGGCAAGAAGAAGAAGAAGAAGCUUGGACCCAAGAAAGAGAAGAAGAGCAAGUCCAAGCGGAAGGAGGAGGAGGAGGAGGAAGACGACGAUGAUGAUUCAAAGGAGCCUAAGUCGUCUGCCCAGCUUUUGGAAGACUGGGGCAUG